UGAGGAAUAUUGGUCAAUGGGCGCAAGCCUGAACCAGCCAUCCCGCGUGCAGGAUGACAGCCCUAUGGGUUGUAAACUGCUUUUAUACACCAAGAAAAAGCACGACGUGUCGUGCCCCGACGGUAGUGUAUGAAUAAGCAUCGA
rnacentral:rRNA from 1 species